UACAGAGGUCUCAAGCGUUGUUCGGAUUCAUUGGGCGUAAAGGGUGCGUAGGCGGCGCGGUAAGUCGGGUGUGAAAUCUCGGAGCUUAACUCCGAAACUGCAUUCGAUACUGCCGUGCUUGAGGACUGGAGAGGAGACUGGAAUUUACGGUGUAGCGGUGAAAUGCGUAGAUAUCGGAAGGAACACCAGUGGCGAAGGCGACUACCUGGCCUGUUCUUGACGCUGAGGCGCGAAAGCUAGGGGAGCAAACGGG
rnacentral:rRNA from 1 species